rnacentral:lncRNA from 1 species
AUGUGUGUGCUGGGACCUCGCAGCAUCACCCCAUCCCUGGAAGUCCUCUGCCUGCGCAAGCAGCCCUGGAACUCUCCAGGCAUCUUUCUGCCCCAGACGUGUGGCCACCUCUGUGGCCACCUCGACGGGAGCCGCAUCCCCACGGUCUGCCGGGGCCUGAGCAGGAGCCGCCACGGAAGUUGCUGCAUGGCGCUGACAAACUCUUCACGAGCUGAGGCAGAUGUAGCUCCUGCUUCGGCCGUUCUGUGUUGGCAGCCAGCUAGACCUGACGCGCUUGUGUGCACUGGGAGACCUAAGCGGAACAUUCAGGAAAGUUUUCCUUGGGGAGUUUUGUUAGGGAAUCCAGACCUCACAAGCCUGUCCCAGCAAGUGAAAAAAAAUACAAUGGGAAUUUUUUGGUAAACCCGCAACAUUGCUGAGAGUGUAAUUAGUCUCAAUUUUUCAUGUAAUGAUUGUAUCUGCAAAGAUUGGCAAAAGGCAGGGAGAAGGUUGUCUUUAUGAGUGGGUCAGGAAAGGGGCACUAGUGUGAGACACAGGAGCCAGGUCCCCCCUGCCCCUUUGGGAUUGUGUGAGUUACACUCAUGGCAACAGGGCAGGGUGUCACUCUGUUUUCUUAGCAAUCAGGUAAGUAUCUCACUGGGCUGAGCCUUGGGUUGUAUUUGUGUUAUAUGAGGGGCUGGCUGGCUAAGCCCAAAGGUCUCUGGUAAAACAGAGAAUCUCUGGAGUUCCCACUGUGGUGCAGUGGUUAACGAAUCCGACUAGGAACCAUGAGGUUGCAGGUUCAAUCCCUGGCCUUGCUCAGUGGGUUAAGGAUCCGGCAUUGCUGUGACUGUGGCUGUGGUGUAGGCCGGUGGCUACAGCUCCGAUUCGACCCCUAGCCUGGGAACCUCCAUGUGCCACGGGAGUGGCUCAAGAAAAGGCCAAAAAAAAAAAAAAAAAAAAAGAAAAAAAGAAAAAGUAAUAAAUAAAUAAAUAAACCAGAGACUCUCCAGGGAAUAAGAUAAGGUCAAAUCUAUAAAACAUCAAAGAACCUGACCUUCAUAUUGGUCUUUGCUUCCUUUGAGUCAGCUUGGCAUCUUUUAGAAAGUAGCGAGGGGGAGUUCCCAUUGUGGCUCAACGGUAACGAACCCUGCUACUAUCCAUGAGGGUGUGGGUUCGAUCCCUGGCCCCACUCGGUGAGUUAAGGAUCUGGCGUGGCUGUGGCUGUGGCGUAGGCCGGCGGCUGUAACUCCAGUUCGGUCCCUAGCCUGGGAACUUCCAUAUGCCACAGCUGCGGCCCUAAAAAGAACAAAAAAAGAAAGAAAGAAAGGGAAAAAGGAAGGAAGGAAAAGAAAAGAAAGUAGUGACGAGGACGUGGGGAUUGGCGUUCUGGCCACCAGUUACUACGUGACCACUUUCCUUGCCUGUAAAAUGGGAGCACGAAUGUCUGUUGUUCUGGGUUAUUGUGUGUCAGAGAGGUAACAUAAAACGAACACAUGAACCAGGCAGACAACAGGCGCUUGGAAUAUAUAUGUUGCCUCCAAAGCAAGAGACCAACAUAUGUUCUUUCCUCUGGUUAGAUUUUCUCUGAGACAAAGCCGUCUGCUACGGCAAGGUUUAAAAGUUGAGACAGUGUAGACACGAAGGCUUUGCCAGGCCCCAGGAUGGUAGAAAGACACAGUGAUGCCCUUUGGAUCCUCCCUUGCAGGUGCGGUCUGGCGGGGCUCCAUCCAAGCCUGUGACAUCCGCCACCACCCAGGCAUCUCCCAAAGCCCCAGACUUGGGGACUCCUUGGCCUCCCAGACCCAAAUGUUGCUCUCAAUCCCUGGCCAAGCCGGUACCUCCCGCUUUCUCCCUUCCGUGGCCGGCAGCCCCGUCCACAUGGAAACAUCAAGACACAAGCCCAGGGGGUCCUUCUAGGUGUCACCUGCUUCUCCCAAUGCCCUCUGUUUCCGUUGUGUCGCUGUGCAAUAAUCUACCCCCAGUGGCUUACAACAAUAGACACUGUUAUUUCUCAGGGUUUUGCAGUUUCCCUGGGCUCAGCUGGAUGGUUCUGCUCCAUGAGGUUCACUGGGGCUCAGUGAGGCUGAGACAUUCAAAAGGUUCUGGCAAUCACGUGGGACUCAGCAAGGCUGUGUCCUGGAGGACCUACACAUCACCUCUCCACGUGGCCUGGCCAUCUCUCAGCAGGGGGCUGGGUCCCAAGAGAACUGGGCUUGGAAUCUGCAAGGCGUCUUAGGAUAUCCAGUCUUAGAAGCUGUGUGGGACCUGCACCCAUGGCAUAUGGAAGUUCCCAGGCCAGGGAAUGAAUCCGAGCCACAGCUACAACCUAUACCACAACUAUGGCAAACUGGACCCUUAAUUCACUGCGCUGGGCCAGGGAUCAAACCUGUGCCUCUGCAGCGACCCAAGCUGCACUGUGCCACAGCGGGAACUCCAAUGUCCCAUGCUAUUUGUCAAAGUCAGUCACAGGUCCAGCCCAGAAAAAAUGAGAGGGUAACAGCCUACUACUUCUUCUGCUGCUGUUCCUUCUUCUUCCACUCCUUCCUCUUCUGGCUGCAUCUGUAGCACAGGAAGUUCCUGGGCCAGGGAUUGAACCCACACUGCAGCAGUGACAAUGCCAGAUCCUCAACCCACUGCACCACAUGGGAAACCCUCAGCCAUUUUUUAUCUACCACACACCCCAUUCAUGUGCACCAAAUUUGACCUUGAAAUUAAGCCCAGAAGUUUCCAUCCCAACUCUUUUCUGGAUUGAUUAUUUCAGUAAGUCCAAUAAAUUUCAAUAAAUCCCUAAGGUUGAAGAUGUAUAGGUUACAUUUUCCAAAAUAAUGCAGUAUUGAGUAGAAUUAAAUUGUAAAAAAAAUCAUUAUUCAGAGAUAGUUAACACAUUUAUUUUAUUCAAGUUGUCUUUCAUUAAAACAACUGGCUUAGCAAGAAAUUCUAGAUUCCUUUAACUUUGCUAUUUGUGGAUCUAAAUAGAAGCUGUUUUUUGCUUUUUAGAGCUGCACCCACGGCAUAUGGACAUUCCCAGGCGUCGAAUUGGAGCUACAGCUGCCGGCCUCCACCACAGCCACGGCAACGUGGGAUCUGAGCUGCGUCUGCAACCUGUACCACAGCUCACAGCGACACCAGAUCCUUAACCCACUGAGUGAGGCGAGGGAUCGAAUCCGCAUCCUCAUGGUUCCUAGUCGGAUUCUUUUCCACUGCACCACAAAUAGAACUCCUAAGCUGUUUUUGUUUUUGUUUUUUAAAAUCAGUCUGAUAGUUGUGCUGAAGGCAUAACGCCAGGUCCUCUUAUGUCAGGCCACGCCCCUUCCCAUCUCUGCCUCCCUGUUGAAUUUCUUAACCACGGAGGUUCCUUCCUGUUCUCUUUGUCCUUGUGGAAUGAUACCCUUCUUUCUUCCUUUACUGUACUUUCAGUGAUGUUUUGGGAGGGAAAUGUUGUAAUGCUCGAGGCCAGCUCUCCCUGUUUAAUCAGAAGUAUUUGCCUUCAGGGGAGGUCCCAUCGUGGGUGAGUCAACCCCC